GCACCAGUGGUCUAGUAGUAGAAUAGCACAUUGCCACAAUGCAGACAUCGGUUCAAUUCCCAACUGGUGCA
rnacentral:tRNA from 1 species